GACGAACGCUGGCGGCGUGCUUAACACAUGCAAGUCGAACGGAAAGGCCCUGCUUUUGUGGGGUGCUCGAGUGGCGAACGGGUGAGUAACACGUGAGUAACCUGCCCUUGACUUUGGGAUAACUUCAGGAAACUGGGGCUAAUACCGGAUAGGAGCUCCUGCUGCAUGGUGGGGGUUGGAAAGUUUCGGUGGUUGGGGAUGGACUCGCGGCUUAUCAGCUUGUUGGUGGGGUAGUGGCUUACCAAGGCGUUGAGGGGUAGCCGGCCUGGGCGGGUGGACGGCCACAUGGGGACUGAGAGACGGCCCAGACUCCGACGGGAGGCAGCAGUGGGGAAGAUUGCACAAUGGGCGCAAGCCUGAUGCAGCGACGCCGCGUGGGGGAUGACGGCCUUCGGGUUGUAAACUCCUGUCGCUAGGGACGAAGCGCAAGUGACGGUACCUGGAGAAGAAGCACCGGCUAACUACGUG
rnacentral:rRNA from 1 species